rnacentral:tRNA from 1 species
GUUAAUGUAGCUUAUUCA